UAAUCCCUACUAUGCCAUACUACAAAACAAUCAUGCUCACCACCAACAUGCAUGUGCCUAUUGCACUGAGGGGCACUACAUAAAGUAGUGACUUUUUUCUGCCCUCGACCUUCCGCGUAACAAACAACGCAAUUCCUUCUUAUACCAUUCUCUGCCGUUGUAGCCAAAUGGGCAGUACAAAACUGAUCAGGGGGAGGAACAGCCUGCACUUGCUCAUUCACAGGAGGUAUAUCAUACUCUGCUAACCCACAAAGCUGCCUAACCAGCUCUUCCCUAUAAUCAACAAUACUAUAUGUGGACCUUCGAUGCAAUGCCGGAUUACCCGGGUCACUGCUACGAUGGUGUUGAAAAAGAAGAAAACUAUUAACAAUUGCCAUAGCCAUUAAGUGGUAGAAUAAUGUCUUCCACCAUCGAUAGCAUUUACGAUUUACAUUAUGGCAUGCAAGCAUUUGAUCUGACCUAUCUACUGAGUUCAUGUAUUGGUUAUAUCUAUGAAAUGCAUAGGGCUGGCUUACAUUUACCUUUUCAAACACCCUUCUCGUUUUCGUCCUUCUCUCCACACUCUUUUUCUCAUUUGCGGAAUCAAUUGAUGUGAUCAAGGUAACAGCCCUGUUAUCAACCCAUUGCAGGGUUAACACAUUCGAUUCCCUUGCCCAUCGCAUGCUACCUCGCUUCAACUUCUUCGCCCAAACCUUCACAUCCUUCAGGGAUUUAAGGAAGCCCUCCCUGUUAGUUUUACAUGUGCCUGAUGAUGGGGUCCCAUUCAUGAACAAAUAUUGGACUAACUUAGGGGAUGUAAAAAAAUUAUCAAAAAAUACAUGAUACCCUUGCCCCAAAUAUGGAUUCACCAACUUCAUCACGACAUCAUAACCAAGGCCAUUCUGCGACGGUGCUUCAUGCUGAGACUUACCUAUGUAAACAUUGAGAUCAAUUGUAUAUCCAUUUGAACUAUCUGCCAAUACCCAGAACUUUAUCCCCCAUUUUGUAGGCUUAUUUUUCAUGUAUUGCCUAAUCCCUGACCUAUGUUUAGACUUAACCAUGCGUUCAACUACAGCAAUAUUGUGGUACGGUUGGUAUAACAUACGGCAUCGCUCUUUGAACGAUGCCAGAAACUCCUCAACCUUGCGCAGUUUAUUGCUAGCAACCUCUUCGCAAGGGU
rnacentral:lncRNA from 1 species